rnacentral:rRNA from 1 species
GACGAACGCUGGCGGCGUGCUUAACACAUGCAAGUCGAACGGAAAGGCCCUUUCGGGGGUACUCGAGUGGCGAACGGGUGAGUAACACGUGGGUGAUCUGCCCUGCACUUCGGGAUAAGCUUGGGAAACUGGGUCUAAUACCGGAUAGGACUACGGACUGCAUGGUCUGUGGUGGAAAGCUUUUGCGGUGUGGGAUGGGCCCGCGGCCUAUCAGCUUGUUGGUGGGGUGAUGGCCACCAAGGCGACGACGGGUAGCCGGCCUGAGAGGGUGUCCGGCCACACUGGGACUGAGAUACGGCCCAGACUCCUACGGGAGGCAGCAGUGGGGAAUCUUGCGCAAUGGGCGAAAGCCUGACGCAGCGACGCCGCGUGGGGAUGAAGGUCUUCGGAUUGUAAACCCCUUUCGGGAGGGAAGACGGCC